CAGUAGCCGCGGUAAUACAGAGGGUGCGAGCGUUAAUCGGAAUUACUGGGCGUAAAGCGCACGUAGGCGGAUAUUUAAGUCAGGGGUGAAAUCCCGCAGCUCAACUGCGGAACUGCCUUUGAUACUGGGUAUCUUGAGUAUGGAAGAGGUUAGUGGAAUUGCGAGUGUAGAGGUGAAAUUCGUAGAUAUUCGCAGGAACACCAGUGGCGAAGGCGGCUAACUGGUCCAUAACUGACGCUGAGGUGCGAAAGCGUGGGGAGCAAACAGGAUUAGAUACCCCCGUAGUCCCUGUCUCUUAUAC
rnacentral:rRNA from 1 species